GGGCCCGCACAAGCGGCGGAGCAUGCGGAUUAAUUCGAUGCAACGCGAAGAACCUUACCAAGGCUUGACAUAUAGAGGAAAAGUGCAGAAAUGCACUCCCCGCAAGGUCUCUAUACAGGUGGUGCAUGGUUGUCGUCAGCUCGUGUCGUGAGAUGUUGGGUUAAGUCCCGCAACGAGCGCAACCCACGUCUUUAGUUGCCAGCAUUUAGUUGGGCACUCUAUGGAAACUGCCCGUGAUAAGCGGGAGGAAGGUGUGGAUGACGUCAAGUCCUCAUGGCCCUUACGGGUUGGGCUACACACGUGCUACAAUGGUAGUGACAAUGGGUUAAUCCCAAAAAGCUAUCUCAGUUCGGAUUGUCGUCUGCAACUCGACGGCAUG
rnacentral:rRNA from 1 species